UACGAACUGUGCGAACGUUAUUCGGAAUCACUGGGCUUACAGGGUGCGUAGGCGGCUUGUUAAGUAGGGUGUGAAAGCCCCCGGCUCAACUGGGGAGGGUCACGCGAUACUGGUCGACUCGAAGGCAGGAGAGGGUAGUGGAAUUCCCGGUGUAGUGGUGAAAUGCGUAGAUAUCGGGAGGAACACCAGUGGCGAAGGCGACUACCUGGCCUGUUCUUGACGCUGAGGCGCGAAAGCUAGGGGAGCAAACGGG
rnacentral:rRNA from 1 species